UGGGGAAUAUUGGACAAUGGGCGAAAGCCUGAUCCAGCCAUGCCGCGGGUGUGAAGAAGGUCUUCGGAUUGUAAAGCACUUUAAGUUGGGAGGAAGGGCAGUAAGCGAAUACCUUGCUGUUUUGACGUUACCGACAGAAUAAGCACCGGCUAACUCUGUGCCAGCAGCCGCGGUAAUACAGAGGGUGCAAGCGUUAAUCGGAAUUACUGGGCGUAAAGCGCGCGUAGGUGGUUCGUUAAGUUGAAUGUGAAAGCCCCGGGCUCAACCUGGGAACUGCAUCCAAAACUGGCGAGCUAGAGUAGGGCAGAGGGUGGUGGAAUUUCCUGUGUAGCGGUGAAAUGCGUAGAUAUAGGAAGGAACACCAGUGGCGAAGGCGACCACCUGGGCUCAUACUGACACUGAGGUGCGAAAGCGUGGGGAGCAAACAGG
rnacentral:rRNA from 1 species